rnacentral:rRNA from 1 species
GAUGAACGCUGGCGGCGUGCCUAGUACAUGCAAGUCGAGCGAACAGACGAGGAGCUUGCUCCUCUGACGUUAGCGGCGGACGGGUGAGUAACACGUGGAUAACCUACCUAUAAGACUGGGAUAACUUCGGGAAACCGGAGCUAAUACCGGAUAAUAUAUUGAACCGCAUGGUUCAAUAGUGAAAGACGGUGUUGCUGUCACUUAUAGAUGGAUCCGCGCCGCAUUAGCUAGUUGGUAAGGUAACGGCUUACCAAGGCAACGAUGCGUAGCCGACCUGAGAGAGUGAUCGGCCACACUGGAACUGGGCCACGGUCAAGACUCCUACGGGAGGCAGCAGUAGGGAAUCGUCCGCAGUGGGCGAAAGCCUGACGGAGCAACGCCGCGUGAGUGAUGAAGGUCUUCGGAUCGUAAAACUCUGUUAUUAGGGAAGAACAAAUGUGUAAGUAAAUGUGCACGUAUUGACGGUACCUAAUCAGAAAGCCACGGCUAACUACGUG